GUAGAUGUAGAGGACAACAGUGCUCUAGCGAAUGGCAGAGAUUGAAGAGGCAAUGAUUCUGGAUCUCUGAACCACUGUGUAGAUGAAUGCUGCCAGCCAGGAACAUGCACACUGGGACUGUCACGGAGACACUGGCCUCCUGCCAGUUCUUCAAAAGGCUCCUUCCAGCCUCCUGGAAUGUGGUCGCCUCUUCCUGGAAUGCUGUUCCCCCUGCCCUUGGUAUGUCUGUCUCUUUUUUUGUCCUUUGGGUCUCAGCUUACUUUCCUCUUCAAAGAGGUCUUCUCUGACCAUUCUUUCCAAGACAUAUUUCCUAAUUUUAUCAGUGUUCCAUCUUGGUUACUUCCAGAGAAUGUAUCACAAAUUAUCAUUCUUUACUUCUAGAGUAACUCCCACUCUGGACUGCAGCCACACUGAAGAUUGAAGGUAGGCGUGUGUCCUCAGUGCCUGAUACAGGGUCCCAAGAGUCUAACAGUGCUUUUUA
rnacentral:lncRNA from 1 species